rnacentral:rRNA from 1 species
UACGAACCGUACAAACGUUAUUCGGAAUCACUGGGCUUAAAGGGUGCGUAGGCGGCCAUGUAAGUGAGGUGUGAAAUCCCUCGGCUCAACCGAGGAACUGCGCUUCAUACUGCAUGGCUUGAGGGAGACAGGGGUAAGCGGAACUGAUGGUGGAGCGGUGAAAUGCGUUGAUAUCAUCAGGAACACCGGUGGCGAAAGCGGCUUACUGGGUCUCUUCUGACGCUGAGGUACGAAAGCUAGGGGAGCAAACGGG